GACGAACGCUGGCGGCGUGCUUAACACAUGCAAGUCGAACGGAAAGGCCCUGCUUGCCGGGUACUCGAGUGGCGAACGGGUGAGUAACACGUGGGUGAUCUGCCCUGCACUUCGUGAUAAGCCUGGGGAACUGGGUCUCAUACCGGAUAGGAGCCGUUUUUAGCGUGUUGGUUGGAAAGUUUUUUCGGUGUAGGAUGAGCUCUCGGCCUAUCAGCAUGUUGGUGGGGUAAUGGCCUACCAAGGCGGCGACGGGUAGCCGGCCUGAGAGGGUGGACGGCCACAUUGGGACUGAGAUACGGCCCAGACGCCUACGGGAGGCAGCAGUGGGGAAUAUUGCACAAGGGGCGCGAGCCUGAUGCAGCGACGCCGCGUGGGGGAUGACGGCCUUCGGGUUGGAAACUCCUUUCGCUAGGGACGGAGCUUUUUGUGGCGGUACCUAGAUAAGAAGCACCGGCUAACUACGUG
rnacentral:rRNA from 1 species